UCCAAUUGCCCAGGCUUUGCUGAAACACAGGCACCCUGGUCUCACUUGAGGGUCACCACCAAUGGGGAUCAUUCCUUCAGCAUUCACUCUCGCUUUCAUCCCCACCUAGGUUUUGUGAGCCUGGAACUUAGAGACUGUUCUGUAGCCCAGGUCUCCUAAGAUUGGCUGCUGGACUUGCCUGAGUUGAGGGUGCAAUGGGUUGACCCUGGGCUGCCCAGCAUUCAUGUGGAAGUGGAGGAAGGAGGACUGGUCAAUCCCAUUUGAAAGCAUCCCUCUCUGCAGCCCGCACCAUCUUCCAAUGACACUGACAGAGGUGUGCCCUCCUAGAGUACUGGGACAAAAAUUCAGAAGUGUCUGCAACCUUGCUUUAACAGUAUGGGAAAUAACCUCUAUCACCUGGAAUUUCCCUGGAACUUUGGAAUAUACAAGAGAAUGGCGGUGCGAGGGCUGCUGCACAGCCAGCAGAGCUGUGGUGAGGAGGACAGCGCCUGCCCCGAGCUCUCCGCCUCCCCCGCCCGCCAGCCCAGGCGCCCACCAGCAGCAGCGACCAGAGGGUCCCCUGCAGCAACGCAACGGCCAGGUGGACGCCUCCAUCUACAGCCUCAUGGCGGACGGGACCUGUUAGGACAUGGCCAUUGUGCGCAACAAGGACCCACCCUCCAUCUGGGCCGCCGUCCCAGGGAAAACCUUCGUCAACAUCAGGCCAGCUGAGGUUGGUGUCGUGGUUGGCAAAGACUGGUCAAGCUUUUUCAUGAAUGGGCUGACACUGGGGGGCCAGAAAUGUACUGUGGUCCCGGACUCACUGCUGCAGGAUGGGGAACUGACCGUGGAUCUUCAUACGAAGUGCAUCGGUGGAGCCCCCACCUUCAAUGUCAUUGUCACCAUGACUGCCAAGACGCUGGGCCUGCUGAUGGGCAAAGAAGGUGUCCACCGCAGUUUCAUCAACAAGCAAUGUUAUGAAAUGGCCUCCCACCUUCAGCGUUCCCCGUUCUGACCUCCUUUGUUCCUUCCCCUCCACCGCUCCCCACAGCUUUGCCCCCCUUUCCUUCACAUACACACACCAUUUUAAUUUCAGGGGCCAUUAACCCACACACCUUAUUGCUGCCAAAACCACAUGGGCUGGGGGCCAGUGAUAGAUGGACAGACACCUUCCCCUACUCAUACCCCUCCUGUGUGUGGUUGGAAAACUUUUUUGUUUUGAGGGAUUUUUUAUGAAUAAAAAAGAUUCUACUAAAAAAAUUAAAUAACUGUACAUAUGUGGGAAAUUUGUUUGAAUCUGCAUUCUUUUACUUUGAUAUAUUUAUGAAUACUUACACCAUUACUACCGUUUUUAAAUUACUGUAGCUUUAAAAUCAGAUUUGAAAUCUA
rnacentral:lncRNA from 1 species